UGGGGAAUAUUGCACAAUGGGCGCAAGCCUGAUGCAGCCACGCCGCGUGAACGAUGAAGGUCUUCGGAUCGUAAAGUUCUGUUGCAGGGGAAGAUAAUGACGGUACCCUGCGAGGAAGCCCCGGCUAACUACGUGCCAGCAGCCGCGGUAAUACGUAGGGGGCUAGCGUUAUCCGGAUUUACUGGGCGUAAAGGGUGCGUAGGUGGUCUUUCAAGUCGGUGGUUAAAGGCUACGGCUCAACCGUAGUUAGCCUCCGAAACUGGAAGACUUGAGUGCAGGAGAGGAAAGUGGAAUUCCCGGUGUAGCGGUGAAAUGCGUAGAUAUUGGGAGGAACACCGGUAGCGAAGGCGGCUUUCUGGACUGCAACUGACACUGGGGCACGAAAGCGUGGGGGGCAAACAGG
rnacentral:rRNA from 1 species